rnacentral:rRNA from 1 species
UACGUAGGUGACAAGCGUUGUCCGGAUUUACUGGGCGUAAAGAGCGCGCAGGCGGUCGUUCAAGUCGAGUGUGAAAGCCCCCGGCUCAACUGGGGAGGGUCAUUCGAUACUGAUCGACUCGAAGGCAGGAGAGGGAAGUGGAAUUCCCGGUGUAGUGGUGAAAUGCGCAGAUAUCGGGAGGAACACCAGCGGCGAAGGCGGCACUCUGGGCUGGAACUGACGCUGAGGAGCGAAAGCGUGGGUAGCAAACAGG